rnacentral:rRNA from 2 species
CCUACGGGAGGCAGCAGCUAAGAAUCUUCCACAAUGGACGAAAGUCUGAUGGAGCGACGCCGCGUGAACGAUGAAGGCCGUGAGGUUGUAAAGUUCUUUUCAUGAAGAGGAAUAAGUUGAGCAGGGAAUGGCUUGAUGAUGACGUUAAUCAUGGAAUAAGCCCCGGCUAACUACGUGCCAGCAGCCGCGGUAAU